rnacentral:tRNA from 2 species
AAGGAGUUAGUUAAAAUAUAACAUUAGAAUGUCAAUCUAAAAUAACUAAUAAUAGUACACCUUG